GGUUGCUGGUGCUGGUGCUGUCCCCUUCCUGCCCAGGCCCGGGCCACCUGCACUGUGUGUGGCCUGGAGCCGAGCUGGACAGUGAGCACCAGCCCGACUUCCCUGGGUUCUCCAAGUGUGGCCCCCAGACCAGCAACAGCAUCCUCCCACCUCCAGGGAUGGUGGACUCCCCCACCCAGUGCUGGAGCGUGACCAAGGCCAAGGCUGAGACCUUUCUCAACCAUGGUGCUGGCCCGCAGCCAGUUUGGGCAGGGGACCUGGGACACAGGCUUCUCUCAGCUGGGUCCCCAGGCCUCGCUCUCUUCUCUUGCGUCUGUCCCAGGUCUGCCUCUUCCUCUCCAUCCCCGAGGCCUGGCUCUGCUGCUCAGCAGGAAUCCCCACGCCUCCCCAGACAAGGCCCCUGCAGUUUGGGGAAGACGGUGCUGCCCGAGCCAGCGUCCACCCGUGGGGCCUGGAAGUGCACUCAUAGGCCCUGUCCCAGGUGGCCCACCUCUCAGCCCCAGCAUCUCUGUCCUCUGAUCCCAGACCUCACAACCGAAAACCACCAGAGCAGCUUGCUCCGACCUGUGACAUCUUGGAUUGUGUAAUGGCACAAGGGGCCCAGGUGAACCACCCAUCUUAGGUAAAGCUAGAAAAAAUCUGUCAUAAUUUAAAAAAUUGAAAUAAGCUGUGUUGACAAUUAAUGCUAGAAGGUAAGAUGGUGCGGCCACUGUGGAAAACAGUCUGGCAGCUCCUCAGAUGGUGAAAUGUCGGGUUGCUAUGUGAACAAGCAGUUCCGCUCCUUGGUACACACACGUUCAAAGGGGUUUGAAAGUGCCCUGUACCCCAGGGUUCACAGAGUGUUAUUCACAAUAGCCACAGCUGGCAACAGCCUUCCACAGAUGAGUGGGUCCUUCCACAGAUGAGUGGGUAAACCAAAUACGGAACACAUGAAGCAAACACACACCGUGGAAUAUUAUGCAGUUCUUAAAAAGGAACAAAUUCUGGUGCUACCACAUGGAUGAAUCUUGAAGACAUCAUGCUAAGGGAAGGAAACCAGACACAAAAUGACAAACCCUGUGUGAUUCCACUUCUCUGAGGUGCCCAGGAUGGCCAAAUUUAUACAGACAGAGAAAGGAGAGUGGAGGGUCCCAGGAGCCGGGAGAGGGAAAUGGAGGGGUCAGUGGUUCACGGGGACAGAGUUUCAGUUCUGCAAGAUGAAGAAGUUUGGAGAUGGAGAGUGGCAAUGAUUGUACAACUGUGUGAAUGUGCUUAAUGCCACUGAACUCUGCACUUAAAAAUGGUUAAUUUAAAAAAAUGGUUAAUUUCGCUGUGUGUAUGUUACCACAAUAAAAAGGGUUUGUUGUUGAGAGA